GAUGAACGCUGGCGGCGUGCUUAACACAUGCAAGUCGAACGGUGAACGAGGGAGCUUGCUCCCUCCGGAUCAGUGGCGAACGGGUGAGUAACACGUGAGCAAUCUGCCCUGGACUCUGGGAUAAGCGUUGGAAACGACGUCUAAUACAGGAUACGAGACGCGAAGGCAUCUUCAGCGGCUGGAAAGAACUUCGGUCCAGGAUGAGCUCGCGGCCUAUCAGGUAGUUGGGGAGGUAACGGCUCACCAAGCCUACGACGGGUAGCCGGCCUGAGAGGGUGACCGGCCACACUGGGACUGAGACACGGCCCAGACUCCUACGGGAGGCAGCAGUGGGGAAUAUUGCACAAUGGGCGCAAGCCUGAUGCAGCAACGCCGCGUGAGGGACGACGGCCUUCGGGUUGCAAACCUCUUUCAGCGGGGACGAAGCGAAAGUGACGGUACCCGCAGAAGAAGCACCGGCUAACUACGUGCCAGCCGCCGCCGUAAUAC
rnacentral:rRNA from 1 species